AUUGAACGCUGGCGGCAUGCCUUACACAUGCAAGUCGAACGGCAGCGGACCUUCGGGUGCCGGCGAGUGGCGAACGGGUGAGUAAUAUAUCGGAACGUACCUUUCAGUGGGGGAUAACGUAGCGAAAGUUACGCUAAUACCGCAUAUUCUGUGAGCAGGAAAGCAGGGGAUCGCAAGACCUUGCGCUGAUUGAGCGGCCGAUAUCAGAUUAGCUAGUUGGUGAGGUAAAGGCUCACCAAGGCGACGAUCUGUAGCGGGUCUGAGAGGAUGAUCCGCCACACUGGAACUGAGACACGGUCCAGACUCCUGCGGGAGGCAGCAGUGGGGAAUUUUGGACAAUGGGCGCAAGCCUGAUCCAGCCAUGCCGCGUGAGUGAUGAAGGCCUUAGGGUUGUAAAGCUCUUUUACCAGGGAUGAUAAUGACAGUACCUGGAGAAUAAGCUCCGGCUAACUCCGUGCCAGCAGCCG
rnacentral:rRNA from 1 species